rnacentral:rRNA from 1 species
CCUUGACGAACCUCAUCGAGGGGCCCUUGACGCGACCCCAGGUCAGGCGGGGCUACCCGCUGAGUUUAAGCAUAUCAAUAAGCGGAGGAA